AGAUUUUCUAAAUCUGCAUCUACUUUCAGGUUUGUAGCCCCCAGGGUUAAAAUACUUAUGGAAAAAGCGAACAAAGAGAAAGCUUUGACACCCCCAAAAUGUAAAGCAAAUGAACAGUACUGUGUGUGCUAAAAUGAUGUAUUUUCUGGACAAGUCAAGGCAGGAGAAAGCAAUUGCUAUAGCCACUAGACUAGAUGAAACUAUAAAAGAUAAAGAUGUAAAGACAUUAAUAAAGGUUUCUGAAGCACUGCUUGAUGGCAGCUUUGGGAACUGUAGUUCCCAAUAUGAAGAAUAUAGGAUGGCCUGUCAUAACCUGCUUCCUUUUACAUCUGCCUUCUUGCCUGCUGUGAAUGAAGUCGACAAUCCUAUUGUGGCACUGAACCAUACAGCUAAUUAUGAUGUCUUGGCAAAUGAAAUUUGAAAUCUUCUAGAAAGUAGACUCCUAUAGACUCAAAGCUGAAUUGAGAUCAGGGUUUCUUUUCCAGGGUGCAUUUUAAUAUACGUAUGAAAUGAAAUAUUUGGUUAGGAUUUUUAAAUGGCAUAUUCUGUAAGCUUAUUUUGUUCUUUACCCGACCUGCCAAUUUACAUAACCAUCUGUUAAAAUUACCUGUUUAUUCUUAAACAGUUUUGUGGUAGCUCCGAUCGCUUAUGAUAAUUUCUUACUAAGCUAAGUUGUAUACAACCCCACUGUAUUAUUUUCUUUAGAUUCUGAUUUCAGGAUCUGUGCUUUGAUUCCUUGUCUGUUUUAUCGUAUAUUUGCUUGCUUUUUAAUUAAAGCACAUCAGUUUUAAAGUGUUAACUAUAUGUUAAAAACAAUAUGGAGGCUGGGCGUGGUGGCUCACACCUGUAAUCCCAGCACUUUGGGAGGCCCAGACUGGCGGAUCACCUGAGGUCAGGAGAUCGAGAUCAGCCUGGCCAACGUGGUGAAACCCCUUCUCUACUGAAAAUACAAAAAUUAGCCAGACGUGAUGGCACGCACCUGUAAUCCCAGCUGCCC
rnacentral:sRNA from 1 species